CUAUAAAUCAGCUUUGAACAUGUUGCGGCAAGUCUAAAAAAUUGGAUAACGAAAAAGUUGUGCUUCAAGUUUGCUUCAAAUAAAAAUGAAAAAUGGCAAUAUAUAUAAUAGUUACCGCAAUUUCGCUGCUUUCUAAUUUAAUACAUUGGUGUUGACGUUAUGCCUGGAGGCACGGAGAGGAUAAAUAUUUCUUUCUCGAGUUUUACCUGGAAGUAACUUAAUCAACAAAAGAAAAAAAUGGAUACCGUUGUUCUCAGGUGACAAGAUUUGGUUUUGAUGCCUUCUGCUAUGUCAACAUUAUAUUUGCAACUUAGAUCAAACAUUUCUUUGACUUGAUGGGCCACCUCACGAUCAACAAUUUUACUUGCUCUCACCUUUACUCCAUUCUUCAUCAGUUCCUCUUCUUGAUCAUCAUCGUCAACCAAAUAUGAUAAAAAACUGCAGGUUACGGAUAAAGAAUAAGAAUCUUACAAAUUGUGAUGACUUUUAUAUUAUGGCC